GACAGAGUAACUAAUAGACCCAAUGACGAUACCUUUCUCACUUACACAAGAAAGAGAGCGAAAAUACCAUAACAAAUGCAUAAGACAAAGACACAAAUACCCAAUUUUUUGUCCCUUAGUGUGUAACCUGUUUUUCAAGAUCCGCAACUUGAGUUGCGAAACAAACUUUGACAGUUCGUGCCUUCAUCGUGCUUGGUGUUCGAAUUUUGGAUAUUAUUUAGUAAAAAAUCGAUACGAGUACAUUGAAAAGACGGUGAAAUUAUCUUAAUAUAGACAUCGAAGUAAAUAGAAUGGUGCGUUGUCGUGUUAUUGCAUGUAUAAGCGAUAGUGAGAAGAAAAUUGCCGGUGUGUCUUUUCACGCAUGAUCCAGACCUACGUAAUUAAUGGAUCGAAGUGGUAGAAAAGAUUGGAUUCUCACAAAAUAUUGUAAAAUAUGAACAAGCCAAUGAAAAAGUAAGAAAUGUGUUUCGUCAUCAAUAAUCAAUCUGCUUAUAUUUUUUGUAUCUACUAAAUUGACUAUAAAGACAAAAGAAAAAUCUCAUAA